UACACACAGAAAUACUAUGGA
rnacentral:siRNA from 1 species